GCCGGGGUGGCGUAACUGGUAGACGCUACGGACUUAAAAUCCGUUGGGCCAAAAGCCCGUGAGGGUGCGAGUCCCUCCCUCGGCACCA
rnacentral:tRNA from 1 species